rnacentral:lncRNA from 1 species
AGCCGACAGAUCAUCUUUUUGGUAGGAUAUAUGGGUUGAGAAAAGUAAGCCGAGGGCCAGACUGUGAGAGUUGUAAGCCGAGGUAAGCUUAGUGCUACCUCUUUAUUUUCUUUAUUAUUUACUUAUGAAGAAUUGUGAUUGAGAAAAGUAUUGUUGAAUUGAUAAUCGUAGAAUGGAUUAUGGGUUGAAUUAAGAUGGAAGUAGUAAGCCUCGAUGUUUUGUAGUUUGAUACUUGAUUUCAGAUAGCCAAAAUAUAGUCAAUUGUGAUACUAAUAGACCCAAUUCAUAUAACUAGUCUUUUCCGGUGUUCGAACCCACCUCUAUUAGUUCAAUUGCUUUGGUCUACUGAAGCUUGAACACAACGAGAACAACAUUUUGGCACAGCUGCUAGGGAAAUGAUAACAAUAUGAAAUGUUAGAAAUUGAUUGUAUGGGAGAUGGAAAUAUAUGUUGAAUAAAAACGUGAGAAGAACCAAUUU